AAGUGGCGGACGGGUGAGUAACACGUGGGUAAUCUGCCCUCUGGUGUGGGAUAACUGUCCGAAAGGAUAGCUAAUACCGCAUACGUCGGCGGGGUCUUUGGACCCUGUCGGGAAAGCCGGCCUCUUCAUGAAAGCUGGCGCUGGAGGUGGAGCCCGCGGCCCAUCAGCUAGUUGGUGAGGUAACGGCUCACCAAGGCGGAGACGGGUAGCUGGUCUGAGAGGAUGAUCAGCCACACUGGGACUGAGACACGGCCCAGACUCCUACGGGAGGCAGCAGUGGGGAAUAUUGGGCAAUGGGCGCAAGCCUGACCCAGCCACGCCGCGUGAGUGAUGAAGGCCUUCGGGUCGUAAAGCUCUGUGGGGAGGGACGAACACCCGCGACCUAAUACGUCGCGGUCUGACGGUACCUCCUUAGCAAGCACCGGCUAACUCCGUGCCAGCAGCCGCGGUAAUACAGGGGGGGCAAGCGUUGUUCGGAAUUACUGGGCGUAAAGGGCUCGUAGGCGGCCAACUAAGUCACACGUGAAAUCCCCAGGCUCAACCUGGGAACUGCGUGUGAUACUGGAUGGCUUGAAUUCGGGAGAGGGAUGCAGAAUUCCAGGUGUAGCGGUGAAAUGCGUAGAUAUCUGGAGGAAUACCGGUGGCGAAGGCGGCAUCCUGGACCGACAU
rnacentral:rRNA from 1 species